CCGUCCCCACCCACGAAUGAAUCGGUUUCUCCGCAUAGCCGCCGCACAUCCCGCUCGUAGACGGGUAGCUCGGUGCGCCGUUUGGAUCAUCCCCACGCGGCGACCCCGAUCCAGAAGAGAAGCGGCAGUCCGCGACCUUGUUGUCACUCCUACCGCCAAGGUUCCGGCCGGUCGUGGCGGGCCCUACGUCGUGGCGCAUCCAAUCCGCGUGCCGGCCGGCCCUGUAUGCCGUCAUCGGGAACUUCGUCGCCAAGGCGUGGAACGGCUCCGGCCUCUUCCCUGACCCCUGCGGCCAGACCGCCAUCCAGGAAUUAAUCAAUCCCCAGUUCAGUUCCUGCUCUACAUUUUCAUGUUUUGGGAUUCAGUAUAAAUCGUUGCUCACAAGGAUUGCUUGCACGUCUAAUUAAUGGAACUGCUGCUCUACACCGGACGUCGGAUACCCUACUGCCUUAGUCAGCGCCGCCGGCGACCUUCCCGCACACUAAAGGAUGAUGGAAACAGUCCCGAUUGUGUGGGCAUAUGCAUAUGAUUCGUGUACAUAACAGUCUGAACUGGCCUUGCCAUCGAUCUAAUCUACAAUUUUUGUAUCAUGCGCUGUUAGGUACUGCUAUUUUUGUGGUAGUAUUAUUUUCUGCAAGUAUUCCAUUCUCUGUAACAAAUUCUGCUAGUGAUUACAGUUUACUUGCCAUGAAGCCUGAUCAGUGCAUCUAUAUCCUUCAUAUAAUAGCUUAUUUAAUCAUGCUUUCUACAAAUUUUAGUGCUCAAAGAUAAUAAGACUGGACCAUGAAAGUGGGUAGAGAGCAAAUGAAAUUUUGCCAUCAGAAUGUGAUACUUCAGUACAAACGUCCUUUAAUGCUGUUUGCUGUUCUUAGGGAAUGGGGAUCUAUCUUUCGUUCAAAAUAUCUACUCAUAUUGAUUUUUAUUGAGUGGAACUUAGUAGAGUUGGACUUCACGGAUUUACAAGGUUGCAAGUGUCUUUUUAUUCUAGCAAAGUUGCUGCCUCAUUUAUUUAGGAAAAUGUUACUAAUAGUUCUGACCAAAAGUAGGACUAAUGUUCUGUGAUUGUGGGUGUC